GACGAACGCUGGCGGCGUGCUUAACACAUGCAAGUCGAACGGAAAGGCCCUGCUUUUGUGGGGUGCUCGAGUGGCGAACGGGUGAGUAACACGUGAGUAACCUGCCCUUGACUUUGGGAUAACUUCAGGAAACUGGGGCUAAUACCGGAUAGGAGCUCCUGCUGCAUGGUGGGGGUUGGAAAGUUUCGGCGGUUGGGGAUGGACUCGCGGCUUAUCAGCUUGUUGGUGGGGUAGUGGCUUACCAAGGCUUUGACGGGUAGCCGGCCUGAGAGGGUGACCGGCCACAUUGGGACUGAGAUACGGCCCAGACUCCUACGGGAGGCAGCAGUGGGGAAUAUUGCACAAUGGGCGGAAGCCUGAUGCAGCAACGCCGCGUGCGGGAUGACGGCCUUCGGGUUGUAAACCGCUUUCGCCUGUGACGAAGCGUGAGUGACGGUAAUGGGUAAAGAAGCACCGGGUAACUACGU
rnacentral:rRNA from 1 species